rnacentral:rRNA from 1 species
ACUUCGGAAGCUCCCUCGAACGGGAUCCCGAAGCGGGUGCGAGGCCCGUACCGAGGUCGCGCCCGUCGGUUUGAGCCUCCGUAGAGUCGGGUUACUUGAGAGUGUAGCCCAAAGCGGAAGGUAAACCCCUUCUAAGGCUAAAUACGACCGCGAGACCGAUAGCGAACAAGUACCGCGAGGGAAAGUUGAAAAGAACUUUGAAGAGAGAGUUCAAAAGGGCGUGAAACCGCUUAGAAGAAAACGGACGGAACCGUCUGACGCCCUCGGGAAUCAGUCGAACGACGCGCGAACGCGUCUCGAUCGUCGGAGCGUAAAAGUCCGGCUCGAGGCGUCUAGUAGUCGCGUUCGUAAGGCGCAUUUCUCGAGGGUUAGCGCCGCGACCGAUGCGAACGGCCGACGACGCCGUCGAGUUGAGGUCGAACGCCCUUCGCGGGUAUUCGUAACCAGCUCGUUCGGUAGACGUAUAUAUUGUCGGAUCUAUAGGAGCAUCGAGCGAAUACUAUAAAUACGUCGGCGUAAAACGCUCGACGAGCGGCGGAGACUCGGCCAGUCGUUCGGUACCUGCUCGCAGGUGCUCGUUCGGCGCGAGGUCGUUUCCCGAUGUCGCCGUCGACGCUACCGACGUUUAGGCGUCCGCGGCGUCCGAGUCGGCCACCCGUCCGACCCGUCUUGAAACACGGACCAAGGAGUCUAACGUACGCGCGAGUUAAUGGGUGGAAAACCCAUAAGCGCAAUAAAAGUAAAAGUCGUCCUAAGACGGCCGAGGUACGAUCCUAGACUACGCGUCUAGGCGCAGUACCGUCCCGUCCCGACCGCACGUCGGUAGGGCGGAGAUUGAGCGCGUUCGUUGGGACCCGAAAGAUGGUGAACUAUGCCUGAGCAGAGCGAAGCCAGAGGAAACUCUGGUGGAGGUUCGUAGCGGUUCUGACGUGCAAAUCGAUCGUCAGACUUGGGUAUAGGGGCGAAAGACUAAUCGAACCAUCUAGUAGCUGGUUCCCCCUGAAGUUUCCCUCAGGAUAGCUGAUACUCGUUACGAUAUAACGAAGUUUUAUCCGGUAAAGCGAAUGAUUAGAGGAAUUGGGGACGAAAUGACCUCAACCUAUUCUCAAACUUUAAAUGGGUAAGAAGUCGAGCUUGCUCGAUCGAAGCCCGACUCUCGAGAAUUCGAGUAUCAAGUGGGCCAUUUUUGGUAAGCAGAACUGGCGCUGCGGGAUGAACCGAACGGCGAGGUAAGGCGCCGGAAUAAACGCUCAUAAGAGCCCAGGAAAGGUGUUAGUUGAUAUAGACAGCAGGACGGUGGCCAUGGAAGUCGGAACCCGCUAAGGAGUGUGUAACAACUCACCUGCCGAAUCAACUAGCCCUGAAAAUGGAUGGCGCUCGAGCGUUUUGCCCAUACUCGCCCGCUUUCGACAGA